rnacentral:lncRNA from 1 species
GGAGUGUAGUUGAUUUCUAAUGUUGUGUUAAUUUCAGAUGUACAGUAAAGUCAUUCAGUUAUACAUGAAUUCAUUCUUUUUCAGAUUCUUUCCCCAUAUAGGUUAUUACAGAAUAUUGAGUAGAGCUCCCUGUGCUAAACAGUAGGUCCUUGUUGGUCAUGUAUUUUAUAUAUAGUAGUGUGUAUAUGUUAAUCCCAAACUCAUAAUUUACCCCCCGUCUUUCCCCUUUGAUAACCGUAAGUUUAUUUUCAAAGUCUCUGAGUCUGUUUUUGUUUUAUAAAUAAAUCCAUUUGAAUCAUUUUUUCUUAGAUUCCACAUAAAAUAAUAUAAUAUUUGUCUUCCUCUGUUUGACUUACUUCAUGUAAUAUAAUAAUCUCUAGGCUCAUCCCUGUUGCUGCAAGUGGCAUUAUUUCCAUCUUUUUUUGUGGCUGAGUAGUAUUCCAUUGUGUAUACAGGUACCAAUCCUCUUUAUCCAUUCAUCUGUUGAUGGACAUUUAGGUUGCAUCUGUGUCUCAGCUAUUGUAAAUAGUGCUGCAGUGAACACUGGGGUCCAUGUAUCUUUUUGAAUUAUGGUUUUCUCUAGAUAUAUGCCCAGGGGUGGGAUUGCUGCAUCAUAUGGCAACUCUAUUUUUACUUUUUUAAGGAACCUCUGUAGUGUCCUCCAAUGCACCACUUUACACUCCCACCAAGAGUGUAGGAGGGUUCCCUUUUCUCCACACCCUCUCCUCCAUUUAUUGUUUGUAGACUUUUUGAUGAUGGCCAUCCUGACUGGUGUGAGGUGACACCUCAUGGUAGUUUGGCACUUUCUUAGCUGAAGCCACAGACCCCCAGGGGUUGGUCCAGAGGCUGCCCAGAUCCAAUGAUGACAUCUCUGGCUGGGAACAAUAGAGCCCCACACCUCAGCUACCUUUUUGGCUCUGGCUUCCCAGUGGUGAGGCUCUUAUUAAAUUUGGGAUUACCAUGUGUAAAGCACGGUCUGAAUUUUGUUUGCUCUGCCAUGUAACUUGCCUUUCCAAACACUCAGUCAGAGCUGCAGUUAAUCCACUGACCGUGGGCUUAACCAGCAGGUGGCCAGGAGGCCCCCACCAAAUUCCUCUGGACCCUUUGUUACCUGGCCUGGAAGGGAGAGACCUCUUGUUUGGGAAAUGUUUCUCCUGCCCCCGAACAUUUUCUGUAUUAAGAGUCUUUUGUCACCAUAAAGCUGUAGCGGGGGAUUAUGAUGGGUAGGCUGUCACCUAGAUUGUUUCCUCUGGAGGGUGAGGGGAACGAUUUGCGGGCUGGCCUAAUGAAACCUUUAUCUGGGGGACAAUGCCUUUCCAUUAAAUUAAAGCUCAAGGCUCAACAAUGCCUCCAAACAAACCCCAUUUGAAUAUUUAAUUUGGGAUGGAAGGAGCUGAGUAAACACCUCUCUCCCCUCAGCCCCUUUCUGGAGACCCCCUUGCAGCAAAACGUGAGGUAGGAACUCAAGCUCUUGAUGGGAGCUUAGUAGCUGCUACGGCCAACCAGCAGCAAAGGUGGAAAAACCUCCAUCUUUAACAUGCAUUUGACAUCAAAGCAUGUUGUUUAGUCCUACCUUAAGAAAGAAAGAAAGAAAGAAAGAAAGAAAGAAAGAAAGAAAGAAAGAAAGAAAGAAAGAAAGAAAGAAAGGAAGGUUUCAGGAAAUGAAUGCUGAUCAGAGAAGCGGCCAACUAAAACCUGUCUGUACUGUGCCUUGUAAACAACAGGGGCCUUUCAGAUGAGCGCCCUCCCCACCCCAAGUGCUCAGGAUACAGGACUGAGACCAGAGGGCCCUCAAGAAGAGUGCGCAGCCUCAGACCCCACCCAAGUCUUUCCUCUUUGCUUUCUCACAGAGAAUCUCUAAGAGAAAGAAAUGUCGAACCAUCCUUUUUUUUUUUUUUUUCAAUGGCUGCAGUGACGUCAAAGGCACUGUGAAGGAAUGGAAUUUUCUCUACCCCCCGCCUCUACCUGGCAACCAGGCAGCGAGGCAACAGGCACCCAAGAGACAGUGUGUGGGCAUCUCGGUGCUGGGAGUCAGAAUUAUCCAAGAAUAAUGUCUCUGUGGAGCAUCUGGACAAUUUUCUUGUCCCUCCUCCCAGCACAUCCAGCUGACUCUUGGUCUUCUGGCUUCCUGGGGAGGAAGACCUAUCGUUUGUUCUGUCCUCCCAGAGAUGGUAAUCAAUGCUAACGAGUGUAUGUGCUGGCUCUUUGCUCACCUCUUCAGUCUUCCUUUGGUUUCAUGACCUUUACCUCCAGGGGAGGCGAUCCGAAGCAGCUCAAUCACGCUGGGAGGGGCGAACCCUCACACUGACGCCCUUGAUGUCUCUGUCGAGGACGUGGUUUCUGCCUUGCUCGUGGAGAAUGGAAAGGAACACAGAGAAGGAUAUGUUUCUGGUCUUGCUGCCUGGUGGCCCUUGAGCGUCAUCUCAGUUUGGAGGAGCCAGCCUUAAGUGACCCACUACGGGAGCAGCAGCUGCUGGGACCACACUGCUUGUCAUCAUCUAUCCAAGUUCCCAACCCAGUAUCCCAGAGGGUAGCAAUCAAGUCCCGACGCAGAGGAAGCAUUUAAGGAGAUUUUAGAGACUGGCUACCAGGACCACCCAACUAUGGGCUACUACCUGGGGUCCUGGGAAGUCAGAGCCUCAAGUCCACGAAAAGCUCCUUCUUAGGCAGGCUGUGUGUGUGAGUGUGCGUAGGUGCGCGCACGCACGCGCGCGCACACACACACACACACACACACACGAGAGGCCGGGCGUGAAGAUCUGGCACACAACUUUUGAUGGGUGACUGCUGCCCCCCCAGUCUCUCUGUGGUUGGGCCCAGAUGUGUCCACAUCUGGCGGCAUGGACUGUCUGGCCUCUGGCCAAAUCACACGCAUCAGGGCCCAGGGCUCAGACACAGCUUUCACCUGUGGAUUUGCUUCGACGACUCUACAGUCUAACGGCCACACACUGGCAAUGCCACCCUUCUUUCCUUUGCAUUCAGAUUAACCGCUAAGCCUUCUUUCUAGGCGGGCCUUUGCUCUGGGCGAGGGGAUCCCAGGCAGAGCAGCCAGGGCACAUCUGGGCAAUUCAUUUCCUCAGCAGAAAUGGACCAAGGGCAGGGAUGCGCGGGCUGCUAGCGGGCCGUUCCUCAGGCAGGUACCUGACCUCUCUGAGCCUCAUUUCCUCAUCUGGAACAAGGGGGGUAGUGACAGCAACAAUGUCAGAGGACAGGCGUGAAGAUAAAAUGAGUUAAUAUCUAUAAAGCCCUUAACACAAGGCCUUGCACACAGCGCUCAGUGAAUAUGAGCUGUUUCCUUUUGGCUUCCCUUCUAAUCCUCAUUUGGGGCUUUCUGUCCUUUAGUCCCACGGUUGUAGGACAUGUGAUCUCUGAGGACAACUUUUAGAGCUUCUUGUUAGGAGGUUUGUGACAUUUCUGCCAAUUCCUGAAUGCUACCUAGACAAGAAGGUCAAAGUGGGGCCAGCGAGAUGGCCUGGGCUGGCUCUUGCCCAGGCCUCUCUGUCCAGCCCUUCUGCCCAUCACCCACCACAUACCAGGGGCUAGGAUACCCCAUGAAUGAGGCUCUGCCCCUGCUCUCAUGGGUCAGCACACUGGCCUUUGGGGUCACAGGGCCCAUCAGACGGGUCAGGCUUGCAUAUCAGAGCCUGGGUGAGGUCCUGCCCUUGGCACAUACACCAAAGACAGACUGGGCACUCCAUGGACUUCCAUGUCCAUGUCCACCAGUGUAGGAACAUUUUCACACCAGGUCCUUGGAAAGGUCACAUCGGUCAGCUGUCCCAAAGGCCCCGCUGCUCCCUGAUGAAGGCAGAAGCCCCUUCCUCACUCUCUAGCCUUCAGCUCUUCUCCCCCCACCUUCUACCUCCUGCUUAUUGCAGCUUCUCCCUGGCCCCCAACUGCCUCUCCUGAACCCCUCAUUCUCCUCAUAGUAGCCAGAGCGAGCUUCUAAACAGAGAGGCCAAGACCACGUCUUCCUCUGGUGGAUUCCUAUUCUGUGGCCUACAAGGUCCUGCACACUCCUCACCUCACACUUUGUUCACCCGCCAUGCUCCAUGCACCUGGUUCUGUAGAUGUGCCCCUGCCCCAGGGCCUUUGCACUUGCUGUUGCUUCUGCUUGGAAUGCUCUUCAGUCUCCAAAGAUGGGCUUUUUUGUUUAGGUUUCAACUCAAGUGCUGCCUCCUUCAAGAAAGCUUCCUUGAUCUUAGAGCUAAAGAAGGCCCAGUCACUUUCUAAAACAUCAGCUCGCUUUGUUGGCUGUACCACAUCUCCCUUGAUUUGAGCCAGUCUGUCUGUGUACCUGUAGACUCUCUCCACUGAAUGCCACUCGGUGAGAUCAGGGAGUUUGUUGCUCUGGUUCAUUACUCUCUCCUGAGUGGCUGGCACCGGUUAGGCUUCAAUAAAAGUCUGUGGAAUGAAUGAAUGAAUGAAUCUUCACCUCAUGUAACCCCACACUCCUGCCAAGGCCACAUUUCCUGAAAUCUUCAUGCACUUCAUGCUCCUGGUGGGGUCUUUCCUCCUCCUGCCAGGACCGUCAUGGCCUAAAGCAAGCUCUGCCUCCUCCUCCUUCUGUUGAUCUGUUGGCCAGUCCUUUUCUAAGAGUCCUUUUGGCUCUGUCUCUGCUUGGAGUACAUGUGCCCUGUGUGGGCAGGGCCCCACCCACCUCGGGCUGACAUCCCCAUGCACAGGGGGGACACGCCACCAGGUGUGUGCACUGCUGAGUCAGGAUGGUCCUCCUGGACCGGCAACCUUGUGAAGCUAAUGAGUGGCUUCUGACGCUUGGAUUCUCCCACUUCCACUUCUUUCCCCAGGUCCCGGGCCCCUUUACUUCCUCAAGGUUCCCUGUGUCCUCUCCCCUCCACCUCCUGCUUUCCAACCCAUCCCCAUGCAGGCCUGUCUUCAGAUCUUUCCCACCAAGGACCAUGAGAGCAUCACGUCUCCCAGAGGAGACCUGCUUUGAGCCGAGGGGGAAGGUGGUCUGUUGGUAGAAUUUCAAUAUCAGUGACGCAUUUCUGCCCCACCCGAGAGCUUCCCUGGGCCCCUUAAAUCUUGCCCCAUAGGCCAUUACUUGCUCUGCAUCUGUGGGGCUCAGGGGAGCCUCAAGACCAGGACAGCGGCCAGUCUCUGACCUCCUUGGGAGUAUUUCCCUGAAUAUCCCCCAAAGAACCAGAUGCCUAGAAAGACAGUAUGAAGGAAAGGCUGGGGCUGUAUCCAUGAAAAGAACAGAAACAGACUUCUCGUCCUGCAGCCCCGUCCUGUCUAGCCACUGCCACCUUCCUCUCGGAGAGAACCAGAGGAUGUCUGGCAGGGCCAGUCUGGGGGGCCCAGAAGGCAUCCGCAUAUGGAGCCCCCCCCCCCAUUCCCAGAUUGUGAAGCUGGAAGUGGAGGCUGCGGAGGCACCAUCCUCUCUGGAGUUUGUGCCCCUCACACCUCCCGCAUCCCGGGUCACAGGGAGAUUAUUAAGGCCAAAGCGCUUAUGUUCCCAGAGCAGGAGCCUCAGGCUUUCAGGCUGAUAGCUUCACCUGCGACUUUGUGAGGAAGCCACCCGCAAAGCCUGUGAAUUCUGUGUCACAUACACUCUUUGAAUCGGGGUGCUCCUCCUUCCCCCAUUGUCCCUCGUGUCCGCCAGAACACAUGGCCGUUCUCUUUCACCCCGACCACCCCGUUACAGGAGCCCCCUCCCUGGACGCCCCACCCAGCACUCAUCGUGAGCUUCUGAAAACGUCCCUCUGAUCAUGUCCCUCUCACGACUCCAGACCCUUCCCUGGCUGCUCGUCAGACUCCAAAUAGAAUCCAGAGUCACUAAAUCCCGCACAGGCUGGCCCUUGUCCAUCUCACAUCCCUCCUCUCAAGGCCCCAGUGACACUGGCCUCGCUCCCAUCCUCAGAGUCAGCAGGCUCUGGGCCACCUUGGGGGGCCUCUGCCUGAGCCCGUCUCCCCGCUGGCAUCUCUCUCCGUCUCACACCCGAGAGCCCUCCCGCCCUCCCGCCUGAGGCAGGCCCCUCUAUCACGUGCUACCGAAAGGCCUCCGUCUUUCAUUGAAUUUACAAGUUAUAAUUAUUUGAUAAAUGCACUGGCACAUUUGUUUGUUGUUUACACUGCAAGCUGCGUGUGCGGAGAGCAGUUUUGUUUUCCUCACUAGGUCUGGGCCUGUCAUGGGGUCUUUCUUAUUCACUAAUAAGAUCCCCAGCAGCUAACAGGGUGACAGCACAGAAAAAAAGCAUUUAUUAGAUGAGUGAAUAAAACUGGAGGGGCUCAGGCCCCCACUGCUCCCCUCUUCCCCCCUACAGUAGUCACUGAAGCAGCUCUCCCACAUUCAGCCCAGGGCAGAGCAAGGUGACACAUCAGGAUCAUUCUAGAACGUCACGGGAGAACGUCUCCGGAGAAGGACUAAGUAUUCCCAAGGGCCACGCUAAUGCGGGACAGCUCUUUCCUG